GUGAACGCUGGCGGUAGGCCUAACACAUGCCAGUCGAACGGCAGCACAGUAAGAGCUUGCUCUUACGGGUGGCGAGUGGCGGACGGGUGAGGAAUACAUCGGAAUCUACUUUUUCGUGGGGGAUAACGUAGGGAAACUUACGCUAAUACCGCAUACGACCUACGGGUGAAAGCAGGGGAUCUUCGGACCUUGCGCGAUUGAAUGAGCCGAUGUCGGAUUAGCUAGUUGGCGGGGUAAAGGCCCACCAAGGCGACGAUCCGUAGCUGGUCUGAGAGGAUGAUCAGCCACACUGGAACUGAGACACGGUCCAGACUCCUACGGGAGGCAGCAGUGGGGAAUAUUGGACAAUGGGCGCAAGCCUGAUCCAGCCAUACCGCGUGGGUGAAGAAGGCCUUCGGGUUGUAAAGCCCUUCUGUUGGGAAAGAAAAGCAGCAGGUUAAUACCCCGCUGUUCUGACGGUACCCAAAGAAUAAGCACCGGCUAACUUCGUG
rnacentral:rRNA from 1 species